UACGGAGGGAGCUAGCGUUGUUCGGAAUUACUGGGCGUAAAGGGCUCGUAGGCGGCCAACUAAGUCAGACGUGAAAUCCCCAGGCUCAACCUGGGAACUGCGUCUGAUACUGGAUGGCUUGAAUCCGGGAGAGGGAUGCAGAAUUCCAGGUGUAGCGGUGAAAUGCGUAGAUAUCUGGAGGAAUACCGGUGGCGAAGGCGGCGUUCUGGACCAUUACUGACACUGAAUCGCGAAAGCUAGGGGAGCAAACGGG
rnacentral:rRNA from 1 species